rnacentral:rRNA from 1 species
UACGAAGGGGCUAGCGUUGCUCGGAAUCACUGGGCGUAAAGGGUGCGUAGGCGGGUCUUUAAGUCAGGGGUGAAAUCCUGGAGCUCAACUCCAGAACUGCCUUUGAUACUGAGGAUCUUGAGUCCGGGAGAGGUGAGUGGAACUGCGAGUGUAGAGGUGAAAUUCGUAGAUAUUCGCAAGAACACCAGUGGCGAAGGCGGCUCACUGGCCCGGUACUGACGCUGAGGCACGAAAGCGUGGGGAGCAAACAGG